CCUCGCGUGGCUCGCGGCGUCCGGGUGGACCCCUCGCGUGCGUCAGCUCGUGAUCCUGUCCGUGAGCCGCCCGGUGUUCGAGCACGUCGUGCGGCGAC
rnacentral:tRNA from 1 species